UACGUAGGGAGCAAGCGUUAUCCGGAUUCAUUGGGCGUAAAGCGCGCGUAGGCGGCUUGUUAAGUCAGGUGUUAAAUCUUAGGGCUCAACCCCGAGUCGCACCUGAAACUGGCAGGCUUGAGUUCGGUAGGGGAAAGUGGAAUUCCCAGUGUAGCGGUGAAAUGCGCAGAUAUUGGGAAGAACACCGGUGGCGAAGGCGGCUUUCUGGGCCGUAACUGACGCUGAGGCGCGAAAGCUAGGGGAGC
rnacentral:rRNA from 1 species